rnacentral:rRNA from 1 species
AUGAACAUUGCCCUCCUCACCCGUUGGCUCUGGCGCAUUGCCAAUGGCAAUGGAGGUCUUUGGCUCACCAUCAUCCACAACAAGUACCUUCGAGGACAGCCUCUUGCAUUCUGUCAGCGCUCGGGCGGCUCCCAGUUUUGGCAGGCCGUCGUCCAGCUGCUACCUAUGCUUUGCAUUGGCACGUCCAUCUCGGUUGGUACUGGGUCCUCAACCCUGUUCUGGUUUGAUCGGUGGAUUGGCGACACCCCCCUGGCCGCACGAUUUCCGGAGCUCUUCGCCAUUGCAGUUGACCCUCGUGUCUCUGUCGAGACGACCCCUAUUGACUUAGGGCGCCUCGCUUUCCGCCGCCCCUUUGGCCCUCCUAAAGUUGCCUCUUGGGAUGCCCUCCUUCAGGACAUCCCCUCCUCCCUAUGGACGGCGCUGUCACCCCGGACGCCAUCUCUUGGCAUCUGGAACCUUUCGGCUACUUCUCCACCAAAUCCCUCUACGCGGCCAUCGCCCCUCGAUGGCCCCCGAGCCCUUUAG